UUGUCCGAGCUCCCGAUUUGAUAACAUUUUGCGCCAUCGUGCGAACACGGGUAACGAGCAGCAACUUCACCUCGUUUCAGAGUCGCAGCGAUUUCAAAAUCUUAUUCUCAUCCGGCGGAAGCCAGUUGCUGAUAAUCCAAUUUUACCGACGGAGUUACUUCCAUGGUAAUGCAGCUCGCUCGGCAAGGCGCGAAUUCAGGGAAUAUUGACGGUUAGUGUUCAUGAAUUUCUGCAGGUGUCCGGUGCGCGAAUAAUGGACCUCGAUUUUUCAGUAUAAAUUCAGUCUAGAUUGUCAACACGCAGCGAUUACAAGAAUCAUAUCUUGAUGGCCAAAAUAAGCUAAUGCAGACUGUUGAGAUCGGAAGAACAUUUAAGAUGACGAUCGAUGAUCGUAGAUUUUACUGACCAUUUCGAUCAAAGUUGCACAACAUCGAACCCGAAGUACAAAUUCUAUUUGGCCUAGAAAGUGGAUGGAUCCGAAAUCCGAAUCCGAUCUGGCAUCGUAAUAUUUCGGUGUAAGGUUGACACUGUCUCUGGGAAGCGAACUUACCGAUAUAUUCACGACCGGAUUCACCGAAGAUCAAGCCUCUCAAUCCUCCGAUGAACUCAAAUUUUCAGAUCGAAAAAUAUGUUCUUUCUCACUGUAAUGUGAAAAUCAAUUCUAUUCUAAGUGAUGGAGAAUUGAAUUAUUUCAUCACCCACAGAGCCAUUCGUUUUGAUGAAAAAAAAAAAUGUUGUAAUCGAAGGCAAGAUUCUCGAAGAAUUUUCCGCGGGUAUCACAAUUCUCCCUGCUAAUGCGAAAGAAGUGAUGAAAACUUGCGAAGAAAAAUCAGCUACAUUUGGAUAAAAUGUUAUUUUUCAAUAUUUGCAAAUGUGUGCGUAACUUUGAGAAUAUUUGUUGGAUCGACAUGAAAUUUUCUGUGUAUAUAGGUACUUGAAUAUAUAUUAUUAGGAUUUAUUGACAUUUAUGUUAAUUAAUUAACGAGUAAGCAUUACGCAUAUUUUACAAGGUACGAUGAACAUAGCACAUUCUUUUCUUUAUCGAUGUAUAAAACACGAGCCGUAUUAAAGUUUAAAAUUCAUUCGUUCAUCCGGUUCAUCAUUCAUUCAUUCCAUGUGUUAAUUCUUGAAAAUGAUAUAUAUUGUUAAAAUUGUAAAUAAUUGUCUUUUCAUCGAUGCACUUGACUCUUGGAUUUCACUGAGUUUAUUUUGUUUCUUUUAAAUCGUUUCUCUUCAAUUUUUACGUGGUUUUUGUAGUUUUUGCUUUUUAGUUUCGAAAUGUCUAUCUCGAUGGUAACUUUGCUUUAACAACACAUUAGUCGAUCUUCGAUAUCCGAUGUGCGAUUACCGAGACGGGAACCUCCGUACCUCGUUCCUCCAAGAGAGUCGUUGUUCAAGAGAGCCGUUUCUUCUGAAUAUAGUCGAAAUUGAUGAAGAAACACACCACGUGUCCCCACUCCAUGGAUCAGAUUCUGAUCACCUCUCGUUGUGUCUAUUUGGCGGGUAUAUUCGAAUUAUUAAAAUAUGUACAUUGCGAAAAUCAAAUUAAAAAAAAAAAUCGAUUUUUGAGAAAUCCUAAUUGCGUAUAAGCCCUUCGAACGAAAAUCACAAAGUUAUAAGAGAAAUAAAAACCGUCGUUUUUCGUUGGUCACAGUAUGUCAAUCGCGAAAUGAGGUUCUACGUAAUUAUUAUUAGAAGUUAGGAAAGAUUAUUGGGAAUUGAUGAUACUGCAAAUCCAAAUUUAACGGAAUCUGGUUUAGAUUUAAUAUAUUUUCAAUAAUUUCUUACCCACUGCAGUAUUUAAAAUUCAUCCGUCAUUCGUCAAGUCAACUUUCGCUGAAACAUUUAUAACUAUUUUACACAAAUAUGUAACUGUAGAAUAAAUUUUUUUCCGAUCAACUUUUAAAAUAAACAAAAUGCCUAGAAGUGUUACUUAUACAUGUAUUAUGUAUUACGCGAUAUAACGGUAAGACAAAAAUUCAUUGUCUCAACUGAAUCGUUCAUUAUGU
rnacentral:lncRNA from 1 species